rnacentral:tRNA from 9 species
GGCCAGGUAGCUCAGUUGGUAGAGCAGAGGACUGAAAAUCCUCGUGUCGGCGGUUCGAUUCCGUCCCUGGCCACCA